AAAAAAAUGUUUGAAAUUGAUAAUAGGGUUAAUUUUAUACAGAUCCCUACAAAAAUAAUAAAUAACAAAUAUAUUCUUACAAAUCUUAACUUUCGUAUGUUGUCAUUGCAAAAGUUCUGAUAUUUUCAAAUAUGUCCCUACCGUUAGAAUUCGUUAGAAAAAUUUAUUUAACCAUAAAUUAAAUACUUAAGUCUGAUUAGUUUUUUAUAUUUUUACUCAUUUAUAUUAUAUUGUUAUAGUUUUUGGAGGGAUAUAUUUGUGAUGGCAAAAUUAAAAAUAUAAACAGCUAUCUAACUGUCCUCUAACAAUAACAAACCAGAGGGACAUAUUUGAAAAUAUCAAUACUUUUGUAGGAAGUACAAUUAUAAAAGUUGAACUUUGUAGGGAUAU
rnacentral:lncRNA from 1 species